GAUGAACGCUAGCUACAGGCUUAACACAUGCAAGUCGAGGGGCAGCGGGAUUGAAGCUUGCUUCAAUUGCCGGCGACCGGCGCACGGGUGAGUAACGCGUAUCCAACCUUCCGUACACUCAGGGAUAGCCUUUCGAAAGAAAGAUUAAUACCUGAUGGUAUGAUGAGAUUGCAUGAUAGCAUCAUUAAAGAUUUAUCGGUGUACGAUGGGGAUGCGUUCCAUUAGAUAGUAGGCGGGUAACGGCCCACCUAGUCUUCGAUGGAUAGGGGUUCUGAGAGGGAGGUCCCCCACAUUGGAACUGAGACACGGUCCAAACUCCUACGGGAGGCAGCAGUGAGGAAUAUUGGUCAAUGGGCGAGAGCCUGAACCAGCCAAGUAGCGUGAAGGAUGACUGCCCUAUGGGUUGUAAACUUCUUUAUAAAGGAAUAAAGUCGGGUAUGGAUACCCGUUUGCAUGUACUUUAUGAAUAAGGAUCGGCU
rnacentral:rRNA from 1 species